UCGAGGUAGUAGUAAAGUCAGGACCAGCAUUUGUACAUUGUGUAAUCAAUGCUGUGAUAAAGGUCGAGCAUGUCCGUGGUCAGGAAUAGUUGGAGACACACCAUCCCUGUGUAACUGUCAGACCAAUAUAUAUGGUUGUCAGGAUUGCGGAAUCUGUAAAACUUGUGCCAAUGAUUUAUGGACAUUGAAAUCUGUUUUACGGCCAUGUUGUGAUGUCACUGUAUAUGGAUCAAAAGACAAGGGACAUAACUCUGUCUUUCCUUUAAAUGGUCAGACAUAUAAUGAGUUUACAUGUGUUGCUCUGACCAGUAAUGUACCUGUUUGUCUUAAACUGUUCGGUGAUACAUCAGAACAAGUUGUACAGGUUUAUCCAGGACCUGCUGUGGAGAUUGAAAAUCAGCAAGAUCUGGAGAAGUAUAAUCAAAAUGCUGAUAAUUUUAAAUCUUUGAUGUUUGACCCUGGUGAUGAGUUAAAUAUCACACUUCAUGCGGUUCAGCAAUUACCAGGUUCAGUGGAGCUAGAAACAGAAACCAAAUCUCUUGAAAUUAAACCAGUUUAUUGGAGUAUCAUAAAUAGAGAAGUUCGAAUAUGUCAUGAGACUGGUAUACUAUGGUA